UAUUAAUUAACCUUGUCAAAACUGGUACGACAAGGGGAAUUCGACUAUUUAAUUAAAACAAAUCAUUGUGAUAGUCCCUGUAGAUGCUAACACAAUGUGAUUUAUGCCCAGUGGUUUGCAUGUCAAGGUGAAUAAUUUCAACCAAGCAUGGGUAAAUGAUGGGAGUAACUAUGACUCUCUUAAGGUAGUCAGAUACCUCGUCAUCUAAUUAGUGAUACGCAUGAAUGGAUUAAUGAGAUUCCCAUUGUCACAAACUACUAUCUAGAGAAACCACGACCAAGGGAACGAUCUUGGCAAAAUUAGUAGGGAAAGAAGACCAUGUUGAGCUUGACUCUAGUUCGACUUUGUGAAAUGACUUGAGAGGUGUAGAAUAAGUGGGAUUUUUUUUCAGCGCAACUGAAAUACCACUACUUUUAGUUUUAACAUUAUUUUAUUUAUUUCAUGGGGUAGAGACGAGGCAUUACACAUAUGUUAAAAGAUAAUGCACAUUUCAUCAAAGUGUUUUCAUUGAUGGAAAUGGUCGAAAGCUCAUUCUUCACACACUUGAUGGAAAUGAGUUUAGGAAACCAAAGAGGAUCAUUGCUUUUAAGGAUGAAGAAAGUUCAUAUAACAAUCCCUAUGUUUUUAUCCAACAUCCCCCU
rnacentral:ncRNA from 1 species